GCCUCUUCUCCUUAGUCUCCUCUCUGUACGUUCGUUCUCAACCUGCACAACAGAAGAGAGAAACCUACAUCCAUCACACACCGCUCCUUCGAUUUCUUCAAUUCUCAACCGUUACAGAUUUUGAAUAGAUGUAGAAGUGCGUCUUGAUCUCCUCUUCCAAUUCCACUACUUGUCAUGCACGCUCCCUUCCUCCUCUCUCCAAAAACUCUCCCUGAACUUUGAAGUGCCAGGGACGUGUGAUCUCAAUCCCGGUGACUCAGGCGGUCUCCAUCUGAACCCAUGCGCCCGAAGGUUCUCCUCCAUGACAUGGUUCCAUUCAGAGUAGAAAGAACGCGAUCCGUCGACCACACACGAAGAAUUCAGCAUGUCCGUGUACAGUGUUCGUCAAGUUCAUCGAUCCGUUCCAUCAAACUCGGUGAGUUUCUUCCCAAAUCCUUUUGCUCGUGUACUCAACCAUAUUCAACUUAUCUCCUAGACAUCAUGACUCGGCCUAUAUUUAUGGUUGACCGCGUGCAUCCAAAUCGGUGGUCAUCCCAUGACACCAUUAGGUUUAUUUAGUUUCUAUUCAUCAUAUGACUUCGUGCCCAACAUAUAGAAUUCUUCCUAUGACCAUAGAAACUUAGUGGCGGAGUUAGAUUGUUUGUUAUACCUUUUGAACGGUAGAAAAUAUAUGACCGUAAUUGUUUUUUAAUAGAAAUCAAGGGUCUUUCGAGUAUGAUUAAAUUUAUGUUAGUAUGUUACUUGAUGUGUUCUUGAUAUGCUUAGGAGCGUAUGCUAUUUAGCUAAUAAUUUCAUAUGACAUGUGAUUUGUUAGAUUUAUUUCUUUAAUCAAAUACACUUUUCAAAAUUGUUUAACGUGUUGCAUGUUAAUAAUUUAUGAUGCAUCAAGUAGGUCUCUCAUGUGCACGUGUACAAAAUUUGAUGAGUGUUCGCUAUGUCUACAAUUCCUUAGAUGUCUUAGGAGUUGCAUAUGAUUUACUAGAUUUAUUUUACUCUUGUUUUGAAUUUUUAAAAGUUGUACGUAUGCUUCAACACAAUUAUUGUGGCAUUGUGUCUAGUCUUAUUUUAUGCGUGUGCACUGAUUUUUGAGAAGUAUUGUCACGUGUAGAAUCCUUGUAUUUAAUAUAAACUUAGUUUAAUUUGAAGUAUAUAAUAUGUGUCCUUUGGUUAUUGAUUUAUGUUUAUUUUAUGAAUAUAUUCGCAUUGUUAUGGGAAAGAUUACAAUCAUAUAGUAUUAUGAUGUCUAUGUGUAGCAAUUUCCGAGAUGCGUAGAUUUAUGGUGAAUCACUAUAAGCGAUGCUUGGUGUAUUUAAUUAUGAUUUAUUUCAUGUUUUUAUUCUUUUCAGUAGCAUAGCGAUAUUUUACAUAUUUGUGUGUAUAUGUUCUUACCCAUGCAUGUUACAUGAAUAUUGUAUAUAUUUUAAGUCGUACGGUGCUCUAGGUGUUGUUUUCUUAAAUUAACAGUGUACCUAGUUUAUUAGUAGUGGUCAUGAGUUGGUAUGUUGUGUUUGAGCAUAUGCAUCAUUGUUGUGAAUUGUUUGUUCUAGGCCUAUCAUUGGUAUUUAGAUUAAUUGCCGCAUCAUGGUUUUGGUCACUUUCUUACUUCCCUAAGUUGCGUGACAUAACAUGUUUUAUGUGAUAUUUUAGUAAAACCUUUUUUAUGUAGGUGUUAUUCAUAUUGUAGAUCUUUAUUAUCUAAGAUUACAUGGUUGGAUGCUUUUAUGUCAUGGUUAUAUUUGUUCCCUCUCUAGAAUUUAUUUCUUGUGGCAUAGAAGCUAGUUUAUUACAUCUUGAUAAUUAUUUCGGUGUGUUUUAUUUACCUAGGAUAAAUAACAUGCCAUGCUAGCACUUGCUCAAACGUUGAAUGCAUGUUUUAUUAUAUAUUUUCCAUGUGUUAUAACAUUGAUAGUAUUUAUGGUAUGAUGGUAUAUAUUGUUAGCCUUUUCUUGGUAGAGAUACAUGCUAGUUGUGUAUGAUUUCCUCUUGCUUGAGCAAUACCAUAUCUCGAUGUUGUGAUUAUCAAACUAUAUGAUAGUGUGUGUAUCAAUUCAUAUUAUUGAAUAUUCAUGCUUAUGUAGCUUAUGUCUUUACAAGUGUAAAUUGUAUUUGAUAGUGAUGAAUGUUGUCUCGAUUAUUCAUGUUAGGAUAUUUCUUCGCUUGAUGUCAUGCAUGCAUGACCUAGAUGUUUACGUGCUUACAUGAUUAAUAUUCAUUCUCCAAGUGCUUAUUUAUCAUAUCUAUGAUACCAGUGAUGUUUGCUAAUGUCGUGUGUGAUCUUUAAGUUAGUCUAUAUAAACUAAGUUAUGUGUUGUAUUGUAUUGGUAGAAUAAUGUGGUAUCUCAUGUGAUGAUCCCUCAUGAUUAGUCACUAUAUCUACUUAUCUAUCUAUUACAUUGUUGUAUGCUUAAGCCUGUACAUCUUGUCAUGAUAGUGAUCUUUCAUGUCUUAUUAUGCUCCAUGUGUUAUAGUAGAGUACGUAGUCCUUGUGCUUCUUAUACAUGAUUGCCCUUGUCACAUGUUAGUGUUUUAUACUUGAUGCAAUAGUUCAUCCCAUGCUUAGGAUAGUUUACCUUCAUGUUAGUUGAGUUCUGUUGUGGUGUUAGUAUGGCUGUUAGGGCUUAUUCAUAUUAGUUGCUCUUUUCGCAGUAAUACCAUGUCCUAGUUUAGUAUCUUCUCAUUCUACCUCCUAUGUGUGAUGAUUGUGUUAUUAGAUAAUACCUCUUUGUUAUUUUGUACUUACAUACAUGUAUGAGUUGGGUCUUAUUAUUCAGUUACUCAAUUAGCUUUGACCAUAGUAUUGGUUUGACAUAAGGGAGUGGAUCAUAUUUUAUUCUAAUUUGUAUCACAAUGUUAGUCUUGAUCGCCAAGCCUUCCUUAGUCGUGUCAACCUAACCUUUUCCCUUCGUAGAAUUCCAUCUCUUACCUUCCUAUCGUGCUACCUCAUAUCGAAAUAUCCAUCUUGAUCAAUUUCUUGCUACCCAUCCACUCUUAUUGUUGUUUUGGAUGCUAUUUGGAGUUAUUGCUUUGGUAUUUAUUUAUUUGUCUUUUGCUAUCGUUACGACGAGUAGGGAGUGACGAGGUGGGACAUGGACACAAACAGGUUACUGAAGAAGGGCUCAACAACGAAGGCAUGCCUCCUUCUUUGAUCAUACUUAUCCUAUGUUUUAUAAAUUGCAUUGAGUUUUAUGGUUACAACAUGCAUGUUGUUAAUCUCGUAGCUAGCGUGUCGAUUGACACAUUACCUUGAUACGCUUGUCGCCUAUCUAUUUGACACCUGAGUAGCAGUAUAUAGUAUUCCGGUAGAGUAGAAAUGCUUAGCCAUGCUUAUUACCUAUAGGUGCUUUGUUGAAUGACUCUUGAGUCAUUGACACUUGAAACUUACCGCUGAGCUAGCCAGUUGGCCUUGUUGACCUUCUCUAUCCUCUUCUACUCUGG
rnacentral:lncRNA from 1 species